CCUACGGGAGGCAGCAGUGGGGAAUUUUCCGCAAUGGGCGAAAGCCUGGCGGAGCAAUACCGCGUGAGGGAGGAAGGCUCUUGGGUCGUAAACCUCAAAACUUAGGGAAGAAGCAAGUGACGGUACCUAAUGUAAGCAUCGGCUAACUCCGUGCCAGCAGCCGCGGU
rnacentral:rRNA from 1 species